UACGUAGGUGGCAAGCGUUGUCCGGAUUUACUGGGCGUAAAGGGAGCGUAGGUGGAUAUUUAAGUGGGAUGUGAAAUACUCGGGCUUAACCUGGGUGCUGCAUUCCAAACUGAAUAUCUAGAGUGCAGGAGAGGAAAGUAGAAUUCCUAGUGUAGCGGUGAAAUGCGUAGAGAUUAGGAAGAAUACCAGUGGCGAAGGCGACUUUCUGGGACUGUAACUGACACUGAGGCUCGAAAGCGUGGGGAGCAAACAGGGA
rnacentral:rRNA from 1 species